rnacentral:tRNA from 1 species
UGGGCUGUGGCUCAGUGGUAGAGCACUUGCCUAGCAUGUAUGAGAUACUGGGUUCAAUUCUCAGCACUGCAU